rnacentral:rRNA from 1 species
AGUGAACGCUGGCGGUAGGCCUAACACAUGCAAGUCGAACGGCAGCACAGUAAGCGCUUGCUCUUACGGGUGGCGAGUGGCGGACGGGUGAGGAAUACAUCGGCAUCUACUUUUUCGUGGGGGAUAACGUAGGGAAACUUACGCUAAUACCGCAUACGACCUACGGGUGAAAGCAGGGGAUCUUCGGACCUUGCGCGUUUGAAUGAGCCGAUGUCGGAUUAGCUAGUUGGCGGGGUAAAGGCCCACCAAGGCGACGAUCCGUAGCUGGUCUGAGAGGAUGAUCAGCCACACUGGAACUGAGACACGGUCCAGACUCCUACGGGAGGCAGCAGUGGGGAAUAUUGGACAAUGGGCGCAAGCCUGAUCCAGCCAUGCCGCGUGAGUGAAGAAGGCCUUCGGGUUGUAAAGCCCUUUUGUUGGGAAAGAAAAGCAGCAGGUUAAUACCCCGAUGUUCUGACGGUACCCAAAGAAUAAGCACCGGCUAACUUCGUG